rnacentral:ncRNA from 2 species
AGAGAAGAAGUAGGGCUAGAUUUUAUUUAACAGAGAGUUCCAGUUUGGUGAAAUGGAAUAAAUUGAUUUAGUUUGAAUACAUCUCAGAGCACUAUCUCUGAAAGAUAACAACCAUUAAGAGAUAUCGGAUUAGUACACGUUAUAGUACACGAGUAUAUGUAAUUGUACUCUAAGAGAUUAAUAUCGUGAGAUAUUGAUGAACUAAGGUGGUAACACGUAAGCAAUGCUUUCGUCCUUUUAAGAGGAUGAAAGCUUUUUUUAUUAUAAAA